GGGGUUGUGACUCAGUGGUAGAGCACUUGCCUAGCAUGCACGAGGCCCUGGGUUCAAUCCCUCAGCACCA
rnacentral:tRNA from 1 species